rnacentral:rRNA from 1 species
UACGAAGGGGGCUAGCGUUGUUCGGAAUCACUGGGCGUAAAGGGCGCGUAGGCGGUGUGUCAAGUCAGGCGUGAAAGCCCCGGGCUCAACCUGGGAACCGCGCUUGAGACUGGCACGCUAGAGUUCGGGAGAGGAUGGUGGAAUUCCCAGUGUAGAGGUGAAAUUCGUAGAUAUUGGGAAGAACACCGAUGGCGAAGGCAGCCAUCUGGACCGACACUGACGCUGAGGCGCGAAAGCGUGGGGGAGCAAACAGG